rnacentral:rRNA from 1 species
GACGAACGCCGGCGGCAUGCCUAACACAUGCAAGUCGAGCGAGCAGAUCCCUUCGGGGUGAAGCUAGCGGCGGACGGGUGAGUAACACGUGGGCAACCUGCCUCAUAGAGGGGAAUAGCCUUCCGAAAGGAAGAUUAAUACCGCAUAAGAUUGUAGCUUCGCAUGAAGCAGCAAUUAAAGGAGCAAUCCGCUAUGAGAUGGGCCCGCGGCGCAUUAGCUAGUUGGUGAGGUAACGGCUCACCAAGGCGACGAUGCGUAGCCGACCUGAGAGGGUGAUCGGCCACAUUGGGACUGAGACACGGCCCAGACUCCUACGGGAGGCAGCAGUGGGGAAUAUUGCACAAUGGGGGAAACCCUGAUGCAGCAAUGCCGCGUGAGUGAUGACGGCCUUCGGGUUGUAAGGCUCUGUCUUCGGGGACGAUAAUGACGGUACCCGAGGAGGAAGCCACGGCUAACUACGUGCCAGCAGCCGCAGUAA